CCUACGGGUGGCAGCAGUGGGGAAUAUUGGGCAAUGGGCGCAAGCCUGACCCAGCAACGCCGCGUGAAGGAAGAAGGCUCUCGGGUUGUAAACUUCUUUUCUCAGGGACGCAGAAAGUGACGGUACCUGAGGAAUAAGCCACGGCUAACUACGUGCCAGCAGCCGCGGUAAUACGUAGGUGGCAAGCGUUAUCCGGAUUUACUGGGUGUAAAGGGCGUGUAGGCGGGGCUGCAAGUCAGAUGUGAAAACCACGGGCUCAACCUGUGGCCUGCAUUUGAUACUGGAGUUCUUGAGUACUGGAGAGGCAGACGGAAUGCCUGGUGUAGCGGUGAAAUGCGUAGAUAUUAGGAGGAACACCAGUGGCGAAGGCGGUCUGCUGGACAGCAACUGACGCUGAGGCGCGAAAGCGUGGGGAGCAAACAGGAUUAGAUACCCUGGUAGUC
rnacentral:rRNA from 1 species